rnacentral:rRNA from 1 species
UACGCAGGGUGCAAGCGUUAAUCGGAAUUACUGGGCGUAAAGCGUGCGCAGGCGGUCUGUUAAGACCGAUGUGAAAUCCCCGGGCUUAACCUGGGAACUGCAUUGGUGACUGGCAGGCUUUGAGUGUGGCAGAGGGAGGUAGAAUUCCACGUGUAGCAGUGAAAUGCGUAGAGAUGUGGAGGAAUACCGAUGGCGAAGGCAGCCUCCUGGGCCAACACUGACGCUCAUGCACGAAAGCGUGGGGAGCAAACAGG